UCGUCUGCUAGAAACUUCUGCGCGCAGGUCCGACCAUUAGUUUUCGGGCCCACUUUCUUUUAAGACGGUGUCCCUGCGC
rnacentral:sRNA from 1 species